AAAAGCUCGUAGUUGGAUCUCAGAUCGAGUCGAAUGGUCCGCCUACCGGUGGUUACUGUUUGUGCUCAUCAUUCCGCCGGUUUCCUUUGAUGAUCUUCACCGGUUGUCUUGGGUGACCGGCAAGUUUACUUUGAAAAAAUUAGGGUGCUCAAAGCGGGCGUGACGCCUGAAUAAUGGUGCAUGGAAUAAUGGAAUAGGACCUCGGUUCUAUUUUGUUGGUUUUCGGAACACGAGGUAAUGAUUAAGAGGGACAGACGGGGGCAUUCGUAUUGCGACGCUAGAGGUGAAAUUCUUGGACCGUCGCAAGACGAACUACUGCGAAAGCAUUUGCCAAGAAUGUUUCCAUUAAUCAAGAACGAAAGUUAGAGGUUCGAAGGCGAUCAGAUACCGCCCUAGUUCUAACCAUAAACGAUGCCAGCCAGCGAUCCGGCUGUGUUCCUCAAAUGACACGCCGGGCAGCUUCCGGGAAGCCAAAGCUUUUGGGUUCCGGGGGAAGUAUGGUUGCAAAGCUGAAACUUAAAGGAAUUGACGGAAGGGCACCACCAGAAAUGGAGCCUGCGGCUUAAUUUGACUCAACGCGGGUAAACUCACCCGGCCCGGACACAGGAAGGAUUGACAGAUUAAGAGCUCUUUCUUGAUUCUGUGGGUGGUGGUGCAUGGCCGUUCUUAGUUGGUGGGGCGACUUGUCUGGUUAAUUCCGAUAACGAACGAGACUCUAGCCUACUAAAUAGACGCUCCGAUCCUUCGAGUCGGACGUUCUUCUUAGAGGGACAGGCGGCGCUUAGCCGCACGAAACAGAGCAAUAACAGGUCUGGGAUGCCCUUAGAUGUCCGGGGCCGCACGCGCGCUACAUUGAAGGAAUCAGCGUGUGCUUUCCCUAUCCGACAGGAUUGGGUAACCCGCUGAACCUCCUUCGUGCUGGGGAUAGGAGAUUGUAAUUGUCCUCCUUGAACGAGGAAUUCCCAGUAAGCACGAGUCAUAAUCUCGUGUUGAUUACGUCCCUGCCCUUUGUCCACACCGCCCGUCGCUACUACCGAUUGAAUGAUUUAGUGAGGUCUUCGGACUGGCGCUCGGAUUGGCCUUCGGGUCGAGCCGAAGUGCCGGAAAGAUGACCAAACUUGAUCAUUUAGAGGAAGUAAAAGUCGUAACAAGGUUUC
rnacentral:rRNA from 1 species